GAAGAGAUCCCAAAUUAUUAUUAUUAUUUUUUUUUCAAGAAUGUGAACAGUCGACACUCGACACUUGCUGUCUUGCGUCCAUCCCGUUUUCACUCCCGGCCAAUGUCCUCUUCUUCAGCAAUCCAACGCCCUUGCAAGCUAUAAUCAAGAUGGAACGUCAGCUCUCUCUCUCUCUCUCUCUCUCUCUCUCUCUCUCUCCAACUUUUCCACUUCCAUUCUCUAAUUUGCCAUUUCUUUAUGCUAUUUUUUAUUUUGUUCAUAUGAAAAUGGAAUUUUUUUUUUUUAAAUGUUGGAUUAGAAUAUUACAUUAUACCAUUGGACGAGAUUCAAUUUAUUUACUUAACCCAGUAUUAAGUUUCGUUAAGAAUUUCCAUCAAACACUUUGUGUGCCACCCUUGUAUUCUUGCUUCUAUUGUCCAUUGUUAUCCUCUUUAGCCAACCCGUUACAAUCACCAUAACACAGAUCAGUUCCACCAUUUCAUCCAUCAUUCUUGUUUCAACCACAAUACAGAAUUAAGUUCCUUACAAACGGCAACGAUGGGGGCUAGAAAAGAAAGGGAGGAGGGAGACGGGAAGGGAGAGUAGCGGGGGGAAGAGGGAAAGCAGUAGGGGAGAAAAUUAAAACUGUCGGGGGAAGAGAGAGAGCGAAGGAGGGGGGUCAAAAAGAGAAACAACUAAAAAUGGACUUGCUACGUAAGUUUGUGGAGUCUCUUUAUGGGAUACCUUUGUGACUUCGGUAUUUUCCAACGCUCUUAGGAGUUAAAAGACCUGCGAGGUAACUACUUCACAAGGGCUUUUGGGCCUGCAUACUACCAAAUUCAUUGUUACGGGUAAAUAUGGCAGGCCUACAAUAUAUCAGGCCAUUUCAUUAUGUGAUUCAUAAAAAAAUAUGUGAGAAAAUAUAAAAAAUGAGGACAGGACAAGGCAAGACAUAAGAUCUUAGGAAAUAGAUCUUAGGAAAUGAAGUUAGACAUGUAAAGGGAAAUUGAGAAUAUUUUAGUUAUGCUGUGUUAAAGGAACUUUGAAUAAGAAUAUUUUCUGAAACUUUCAUUCUGAUAUUUUUUAUAACAUAUUCUAAUUCUACAUUCUGAAAGUAAAAAUAUUUUUGUUUUGCAUUUUAAAUUCUGUAAAUGCUCAUAUUUGUAUACUGGUAUAUGUUCUCUAUUUAUUGAGUUAUUGAUAACUCACUCUCUUAUCUCCACAAUAUUUUUUAAAUAUUUUUUAUAGUUCAGCUAGAGAAUAUGAGUAGGAAGUAUUAGAAAAAUUCGAUGAUCAUAUUAGGGGUGGGCAGCGGGGCCCCACCCCGCUCUUGUGUGGCGAGGUGGAUUGCCCCAUCCGCAUAGCGGGCCCGUAUUUUGCCACUUAGCGGGGGCAGGGGUGGGAUAGGGUGGUCCCCCGCCCAGGAAAUACCCCACCGUGAAUAUAUAAUAUAUAUUAUAUAUAAAUAUAUAAUUAUAAAUACAACAUAUGUUUAAAAAAAUCCUCAAGUGACCAAAACGGCAUCGUUUGGCACCGGGGUUUUUUUUUAAUUAAUUUAGUAAACCCAAAACGGUGUCGUUUUGGGUUUACUAACCUAAAAGGCUAACACCCUGCCCCCCCUCCUCUCAAUUUGAAGGCUGAAGCCCCCUCUCCCCACUAAGUUUGCCUUCCAUGAGAGUAUCGUUGUCGUCACAGCCCCCUGUCGCCACUGCAGCUGACCUCCUUGUUGUCUAUGCUUGCCGUCGUUAUCGAAGUUCAAGAUGUUAUUGAUUAUUGUCAAGUCAAUGCCGAGGAGGAGGGUGCUGUUGAGCCUUAAUAUGUGACACCUAGGACGGCAUCUACGGCUACCUCCGCUACAGUAUAACUUCGUGUAUAUUAGAGUGGAGACCCACCAUUACUCAUGGUUCUAUGAUCUUGAAUUUGAUUCUCACAUAACUCAAUACAACUCAGAAUCAUAGUGAACUCAUCGCCAUCCAAAAUUGAUCAAACUUUCCAAUAUUAUAAUUUUGUUAAUUCACAAUUAGUUGUAAUGUUUAUAGUAUAAUUUGUAGUAUAUAUUAUUUUUAUGCCUUUGUAAUUUUGCAAUUGUUUAUUAGGUUUCUUAAUUUAUAAUUUGUAUCAUUCUAAAUUUGUAAUAGCUUAGUGCGUGUCUUAGUGAUGGUUAUUACUUAGUUCUUAAUAGACUAAUAGUACUAGGUUGAAGUUUGAACUUGGAACUUGGUAAUUAGUGUUUCUAUUCAUAUUUUUUUUUUCAGUUUUUU